GGAAAUGUGCCCGAGACCAAAGGAUCACUUUGAUAGAGUGAAAUACAGAGAGUAACCCCUCUCAUUUCCU
rnacentral:tRNA from 1 species